rnacentral:rRNA from 1 species
UACGAAGGGUGCGAGCGUUGUUCGGAAUUACUGGGCGUAAAGGGCGCGCAGGCGGUCCUUCAAGUCAGAUGUGAAAGCCCCGGGCUCAACCUGGGAACUGCAUUUGAGACUGGAGGACUUGAGGACGGGAGAGGAGAGUGGAAUUCCCAGUGUAGAGGUGAAAUUCGUAGAUAUUGGGAAGAACACCGAUGGCGAAGGCAGCUCUCUGGACCGUUACUGACGCUGAGGCGCGAAAGCGUGGGGAGCAAACAGG